GAACUACUCCAAAAUGUCCUUCACUUGCUGCUACGUGAAGUGGCCGCACUCCAUCCGCUCGGUUGAUGUUGGCAUUGCAACCUGAUUUGAGUAGCAUCUGAACACACUUUUCACCUCCUUCCGUCACUCUGGCUGCUAUGUGAUUUAAAGAUAAUUUCGGUUUACCUCGAAUAUGAACUUGAGCUCCGUAUCCCAAUAGGGUUUCGACAACAUUAGCUUUGCCGGCCUGGACGGCAACGUGAAGAGCUGUAUAAUUAUCCUGUUAAAAAUCAAUGGGAUUCUUUUGGUGUCUUAAAUAUUUCUUUAUCAGUUUUUUUUUGUGUGUGACUAAUUUUACAUUUGUAGUAGCGUCCACUUGUUCUCCUUUCAACAAAAGAGUUUGAAUGACUCCGACGUGGCCCUUCCGUGCAGCGAUGUGAAUACUCCGUGCUCCACUCUUUAAACCGAUCGUUAAUUAUUGAUUUAAUUCAACUCCUUUCAACUAGCUUUGUUAAAAAAGCAUGCGGAACACACCUUGUUAGGCAUGUGAAGUGGAACUCCCUUUUUCAGCAGCAUUAGAGCUGUGUCCGGAUGUCCAUGGAAUGAAGCUACGUGCAGUAAAGUGCUGCCAUCUUUAGUUCGAUCCAGACAGGAUGCCCGGAAUUUUUCCGUCAGGAUCUCUACCACAGCUGUUUUGCCCCUUUCAGCCGCAAUGAGCACGGGUGUCCGAUCUGUUUCGGAUUUACACCUGAGAGAUUUUCUUUACAGGAUAUACGUUAACAGCAUCGACGGGGCUGCCUUGAUCGUUCAAAAUCCGAAGAAGUUCAAUAUCGCGGCGUCUCGUGGCUGCGUGAAAGGCAUUUUCCAUUUUCGGCCCAAAGGUAGCCUUCACCUGGAGGUCGCCAUUCAUGUUGAGCAGCUCUUUCGUCACGUGCAUGUUGCCUAUUUCCACGGCGAUAUGCAACGCCAAGCCACGAUCACGCACUGUAUCUCUAGCCAGUCGGAAGUCUUUCGCUCCUGAAGCCAAUAGCAUUUUAGCGACAGAUGCACCGGAUCCGCCUGUUCUUGACGCCACCAAGUGAAGCACGUUUUGUUCGCGAGGCUUUUUUUGAAAGAAACGGGAAUGAUCAGGAAAUAUGAAGGAUGUUAAGAAAUUUGAAUGACUUACCCCGGCUGGAAUGGUGAUAUCAGCUUUACGGGAAAGUAAGUUCUUUAUGACAUCCUCUCUCGAAAACAAGACAGCCAAGUGAAACGCGUUGUAAUUAUCCUGCAGAUAUGUCCAUAACAAAAAAAAAGGUGAGACAAUUGCAAAAGUCCCAACUCGGCGCUGACAUUCGGAAAGAUCGCGUGCGCACUACAUUUUGCUUCCGAGUCGGCAUCCGUAAUAAUGGAUUACGGUUGUAUUGUGUCACGCGCCAUGUAGUUUACAUUUUCCUCCAGGAACCGAAAAAUUUAAAGGUCGCUGGCCGGAAGGGGUAUGUAUAUACGUACAUAGCGCAUAUCACUAUUUAUCUAUAAACAGUUUACACGUUCCAGGAUUGUUUUUUUUUUUCCAACGCUAUUUUUCUUUGUUCGAUAGCGGUCAGCAACGGUAGUUUUUUUUUUUUCGAAACCUUUUUAUUUCUUUGGUUGUUUAAUCGAUAUUAUUUAGAGCUGACAGGUAUGUCGGGAGAGCCAUAAAAAAUGAUCAUCACCUGUUGACGUGAAUGGCUAUAGUUCUGUUAUCACGCUAGACCAGAACACUUAAACUCGCGUCGCAAUCCAAUUUGACACAAUAGAAAACGAAAAACUAAAAUU